rnacentral:rRNA from 1 species
AUUGAACGCUGGCGGCAGGCUUAACACAUGCAAGUCGAGCGGGGGAAGGUAGCUUGCUACCGGACCUAGCGGCGGACGGGUGAGUAAUGCUUAGGAAUCUGCCUAUUAGUGGGGGACAACAUCUCGAAAGGGAUGCUAAUACCGCAUACGUCCUACGGGAGAAAGCAGGGGAUCUUCGGACCUUGCGCUAAUAGAUGAGCCUAAGUCGGAUUAGCUAGUUGGUGGGGUAAAGGCCUACCAAGGCGACGAUCUGUAGCGGGUCUGAGAGGAUGAUCCGCCACACUGGGACUGAGACACGGCCCAGACUCCUACGGGAGGCAGCAGUGGGGAAUAUUGGACAAUGGGGGGAACCCUGAUCCAGCCAUGCCGCGUGUGUGAAGAAGGCCUUAUGGUUGUAAAGCACUUUAAGCGAGGAGGAGGCUACUUUAGUUAAUACCUAGAGAUAGUGGACGUUACUCGCAGAAUAAGCACCGGCUAACUCUGUGCCAGCAGCCGCGGUAAUACAGAGGGUGCGAGCGUUAAUCGGAUUUACUGGGCGUAAAGCGUGCGUAGGCGGCUUAUUAAGUCGGAUGUGAAAUCCCCGAGCUUAACUUGGGAAUUGCAUUCGAUACUGGUGAGCUAGAGUA